UUGGAGGGCAAGUCUGGUGCCAGCAGCCGCGGUAAUUCCAGCUCCAAUAGCGUAUAUUAAAGUUGUUGCAGUUAAAAAGCUCGUAGUUGAACUUCGGGGUCUACCCAUUGGUCAGGCUUAAUUGUCUGCACUGGUGAGAUGGAUCUCUACCUUCUGAGGAACUUUCAUGCCAUUUAUUUAGUGUGAUGGGAAAUCAGGACUGUUACUUUGAAAAAAUUAGAGUGUUUAAAGCAGACUAUCGUCUGAAUACAUUAGCAUGGAAUAAUGAAAUAGGACGGACUGAUUCUAUUUCGUUGGUUUCUAGGAUUGACGUAAUGAUUAAUAGGGAUAGUUGGGGGCAUUAGUAUUCAAUUGUCAGAGGUGAAAUUCUUGGAUUUAUUGAAGACUAACUACUGCGAAAGCAUUUGCCAAGGAUGCUUUCAUUAAUCAAGAACGAAAGUUAGGGGAUCGAAGACGAUCAGAUACCGUCGUAGUCUUAACCAUAAACUAUGCCGACUAGGGAUCGGAUGAUGUUAAUUUUUUAAUGACUCAUUCGGCGCCUUACGGGAAAC
rnacentral:rRNA from 1 species